rnacentral:rRNA from 1 species
GAUGAACGCUGGCGGCGUGCUUAACACAUGCAAGUCGAACGAGAAGUGAAGACGGAAACCUUCGGGCGGAAGGCUUUAUUUCGAGUGGCGGCCGGGUGAGUAACGCGUGGGUAACCUGCCUCAUACAGGGGGAUAACAGUUGGAAACGACUGUUAAUACCACAUAAGACCACAGCACCGCAUGGUGCGGGGGUAAAAACUCCGGUGGUAUGAGAUGGACCCGCGUUCGAUUAGCCAGUUGGCGGGGUAACGGCCCACCAACGCGACGAUCGAUAGCCGAGCUGAGAGGAUGACCGGCCACAUUGGGACUGAGGCACGGCCCAAACUCCUACGGGAGGCAGCAGUGGGGAAUAUUGCACAAUGGGGGAAACCCUGAUGCAGCGGCGCCGCGUGAGUGAAGAAGUAGUUCGGUAUGUAAAGCUCUAUCAGCAGGGAAGAAAAUGACGGUACCUGAGUAAGAAGCCCCGGCUAACUACGUG